UUGUACCUCGUUGACCGGAAGGGUGUCCUUCCAGUCGACAAGGUACUUGUACCUCGUCGACCGGAAGGGUGUCCUUCCAGUCGACAAGGUACUU
rnacentral:miRNA from 1 species